GUGCCCGUAACUCAGUGGUAGAGUGUGAGAUUGCAAUACAUUCAGCAGAACCGUCUUGUUAUCUCGAAGCCCCGUGUUCGACCCACGGCGGGCACU